CAUUCAAAGCAUUUCUGUUGCUUGGAGACUCAACUUCCAGGAGGACAACACGAUAAAGAUAAAAAUAAACGAGGAAGUUUGACUGAUUUUAGUUCGAUAGUUUGAAAGGCAUGAUUUGUUUGCCCUCAAACUAAUUUCUUGGUAUCAGGUUUAAACAUUUUAGCAAUAGACAAGCCAACUACUUUGGAGCAUUAAAAAUAUUUACCACAGUCAAAGCUUUGAAUAAAAUAAUGAGAUGACAUGCAUGUGCUGUAUUUAGCUGUAGAGUGAAUAAACUAGUGGGAAUGUGCAGUGCAAACGUCAUUUCUUCAGGAAUGUGAAUUAUCCUCCUUUGUAGAAAAACAAGCUCAUGUCUUGACAUCACAAGAUCCCAUUAACACGUGAACAGCUGAUUGUAAGUUACAGGAAAGCCCUCCAACUUACUGCUCUCUUUUGGUUACAGAAAGAAGGCAGUUGCAGAUUUGCCUUCUAAUGAAAGUUUAUUGGCAGACGCUUCAGUUUCAAUGUUUAUACUGUACAUUCCUUUGUUGCAAGGUUUUAAUUUUUUUAUUUUUUUUUUUUUUUUUACUAGAGUGUUUAAUCUCAGGAGUUAAGUCUCAGGUGUUUCACCUAAGAUUAUCUCAGUAUUAUUAUUUUUUUUUUUUUAAGGAGCCAGUUGGAGAAAUGGACAGAAUCAAUAAGGAGAACGGGGAACUUAGUGUGUCAGGGGAGAGUUCAGAGAGCAUAGAAGUUAAAACUACACAAAUCCAAAGUGAGACAAAUGGGGACCUGAAAGCACAUGAGGAUCCAGUGGUGCUUCUGAAAGAUCAACUAACUCAGCUGAGUACUAUAAGCCAACGGACACCAGAACAAAGAGACCAAGAGCUCAACAGCCUUCUGCUUCUGUUCAUCCAGGUCUCAGAGAGCAGCAGUGUCCUUGAUGAUCUGGACCUCCAGGGCUUGGCGCUGAAGGUUGGAGAAGCUCUUGUCUGUCACAUACAGCAGAGAGUGGCAGAAAAGCCUGCAGGUACCCAAAAAUAACAUUUGCAAAGGUGCAGUUGGCAGUGGCACUGGUGAGGUCACUAAAGGCCAAACAAAAAUCAAACUGAGAGCUUCAGUUGGUGUUUGAAGGGAAGUUGCUCACUUCUUUAUUUCACAAACAUGCGGCAAAAUAAGUUGCAUGAUAAUGUUGAUCAUCCUUGCUGUUACCUGUGUGAUGCAUCUGUGUUCAUUUCUUAUUAUGGUGUUUAGUUGAUUAAAUGAUUAAAUGAUUAUUCAAAAUGGAUGUUGGUGUUGAAGGAACCGAAAACCUUACUUAUCUGUUGUGUGCUGAUCUAAGAUCAAAUGGGUUUAAUCGUGCUGUCUGUUGUUUUUAUGGCUUUGUUUAAAAUAGAAGAAGCCCGGUAUGAAUUGGAGCAGUUGUUUCAGAGGUCAGAGGUCAGAAGCAACCAAGGAUGGCUUCUGCUCAAAUCGAUAUCUCUUUUGUCUAACAGAGACUCUGAAGUUGGCGUUAUGAUCAAGACAGGUCUUCCGGUGUCAUUAGUCAAGUGUCUGUACCUGUUUGUAGCUUUGCCUCCCCGAAAAGAGAGCUUUGUCUUUCGCAAUGAUGUUGAAGAGGAAGUCAAAUGCUCUUUUCAGGACACUCUUACUCAGGUGAUCUUGCAGCUGUGCAGGCAUGUGCGUUUCGUGGAGGUUCUGCUGGAGACCCAGGAGCUUUCAAGCGUGAUCAUCUCUCUCACCUUACUUUGGGAUCAGUGCAGCCCCUCAUGGAGACAGCAGGCGUCUCGUGUGCUCAGAGCAGUGUCUGCUGCACAAGCUCACAACACUGUACCUGCACUGCAAGCUAGUAACUGCAUGAAGAUCUGCAUCCAGAACAUGCAUAAGAUCAGCGAGAACGUCCCUGGUCAUGUUCUGUCUGAGGUGGCCGUGAGUGUUUUCAGCUUUGUGAAGGACUCUUAUGCCAUCAGUCCUGCUCUUUUUGAAGAAUUCGAGAACAAUGACGGCUAUGACAUCUUUCAGGCCAUCUUGUUACGCUGUGAGGAGGAAGUGACAGAGGAGCACUUCUUAGCCAUUCAAGACCUUCUAGGCCUCAUUGCGUCAUUUACGCUUUUUGGCAAGGCUGAGCUGAAGGUCACCAUGUGUGUAAACAACCCCCAACCACCAGGCUUCAGGUUCGACCCAACCCUUACUAACGGUUCGCCAGUGAUGAACCUCACAGCCUUCAAAAUCAUCCAGUCCUCCUUCUUGCGGUCAGGCAACACGGUGAUCUGCAGCCAAAUCCUGCGCACCAUCCAGAUGAUCUGGUCUUGGGAAAAGGCUAACUUCUUCCUGCUGGAGUGGUCUCUGCAGUCUCUGGCUCAGCUGGCGGAGUGUGUGUGGCAGAAAUCGCCACCUGUUCACCUCAUUUUCUUCGAACUGCUUGAGACCGUCAUCCUCCAGCUCUCCUACAUCCCACACGAGACAAUUAGAAAGGUCAAAGCUGUAUUGAAGCAGGGUUGUUCGGAGGCCUUCAACAUCGCAGCUCUGGACUGCUUCUACAGGCUCAUCAUGCACAGUGGAUUGCUGUCUGACGUCCUGAGUGAUGGAGGACUGAUGGAACAACUGAUGUUUGAGCUUAAACGAAGGGCAAAGAUAAUCAGAAAGGCUGGUGUUGCUGGUAAGUCUUUUGGUUUUCUCUGUACUUUGAAUUACGAAAACAAGUCAAUUUGAAAUGCAGAUGCCUGAUCCUGAUUUGAGAUCUUAUUUAUUGACAGUGAAUGAAGUUGAGGAGAAGGCUGACAGCUAUGAGAGGAAGUUGACCACCAACAUUUUAAAUGUGGUUGCAGCCCUGGCCUUCCAGUCAGUCAGAAACACUGGUUAGUUGAAGUUAUUUUCUUCACAACAGGUAUUUUACACUUUUAACCUUUUGAGCGGUUCGGUCCCACAUAUGGGAUUCUUAUUUCCGUGCCCCUGAGAGUAUGGUCCCACAUAUGGGAUUUAGAACGUUCAGUGACGUCACAUAACUGUCAAAUUCAAACUGCGGUUUCGCGCGUUGGCUGGCGCUGAGCCAGAGAGAGACGUGCACUGCUCUUGUCAUAUUAUCACAUCUAUGCAGUGUUCUUCACUACAUAAUGCAUAUUUUAGGUUUCAGACAUUUAAAUACACAUAAAUACUAUAAAAACAAUACAUUUAGAGUUUUAAAAAUACACGCAUAUGUCUAUGGAAGCAACAAUAACAAUCCAUUCAAAUUUAAUUUGCGGACGUGUUUUAUUCAUAUCAGAUAUACAUCGAAUAAGUAACUGUAAAGUUCACUCUAUUCAUCACCCAGUUCACCUGCCACUUAUUACUUGUAUUUCGGGAGAAAUUGAUGAAUUCACGUGCUGUAAAUGCGACAGACAGGACUCUCUGCACUGCGGCGCGAACAAACAUGGCGGCGCCCGUCUCACAUUACAGAUCGCGAUCAAGAUCAUUUAGAAAGCUUUUUAAACGACAAAACACACUCAUUUACACAUAUUUGUGAAUCGGAAUAUCAGAUUGUUCAUGACAUGGUAUGCAAGUUUGUAAAUAUUUUAAAUAAAAAAAGGAAAAACGAAAUAAAAGCGAUCCA
ensembl:lncRNA